GGGUAAAGCUGAUCUGCCCUGGGUAAGUCGGGGCCUAAGGCAAGGACGAAAGUCGUAGUCGAUGGAGAGCUGGUGAAGAUUCCAGCACCUGAUAUGAUCAGAACUGUGGGGACACGGAAGCGAAACCGGACCCGGGAGAGCAAAGACCGGGCGAAGCGAAGUAGGAGGACGGAAGGAAAAACCGCCGUUCAAUCCGAAGGCGCGAUAGGGAGCGAAGAAAAGUAGCGAAGCCGGGAGACGAAGCCGUCGAGAAAAGCCGCUAUUGUAUCAUAUCAGCCCGUACCGAAAACCGACACAGGUGGAUGAGGAGAGAAUCCUAAGGCCGGCGGGAGAAGCAUUGUUAAGGAACUCGGCAAAAUGACCCCGUAACUUCGGGAGAAGGGGUGCUGGUGAGAACCAGCCGCAGAGAAGAGGCUCAAGCAACUGUUUAGCAAAAACACAGGUCUAUGCGAAACCGAAAGGUGAGGUAUAUGGGCUGACGCCUGCCCGGUGCUGGAAGGUUAAGAGGAGAGGUUAGCGCAAGCGAAGCUUUGAAUUUAAGCCCCAGUAAACGGCGGCCGUAACUAUAACGGUCCUAAGGUAGCGAAAUUCCUUGUCGGGUAAGUUCCGACCCGCACGAAAGGCGUAAUGAUUUGAGCGCUGUCUCAACAAUGCACCCGGUGAAAUUGAAGUGCCAGUGAAGAUGCUGGCGACCUGCGCCAGGACGGAAAGACCCCAUGGAGCUUUACUCCAGCUUGAUACCGGGAUCCGGUGUUACUCGUACAGGAUAGGUGGGAGGCGAAGAAGCGUGAACGCCAGUUUACGCAGAGCCGCUGUUGGGAUACCACCCCUGUGACACUGGGUUUCUAACCUGCGCCCGUUAGCCGGGCGGGGGACGCUGUCAGGCGGGGAGUUUGACUGGGGCGGUCGCCUCCGAAAGAGUAUCGGAGGCGCUCAAAGGUUCCCUCAGAAUGGACGGAAACCAUUCGAAGAGUGCAAAGGCAGAAGGGAGCUUAACUGCGACACCGACGGGUGGAGCAGAUACGAAAGUAGGACUUAGUGAUCCGGUGGUAUAAAGUGGGAUUGCCAUCGCUCAACGGAUAAAAGCUACCCUGGGGAUAACAGGCUUAUCACUCCCAAGAGUUCACAUCGACGGAGUGGUUUGGCACCUCGAUGUCGGCUCAUCGCAUCCUGGGGCUGAAGUCGGUCCCAAGGGUUGGGCUGUUCGCCCAUUAAAGCGGUACGCGAGCUGGGUUCAGAACGUCGUGAGACAGUUCGGUCCCUAUCCGGCGCGGGCGUAGGAUAUCUGAGAGGAGCUGUCCUUAGUACGAGAGGACCGGGAUGGACUGACCACUGGUGUACCGGUUGGGG
rnacentral:rRNA from 1 species